rnacentral:rRNA from 1 species
ACAGUAAUGUUCUCAAAACCCAAAGAAUUUGGCGGUAUUUUAUUCUUAUUUAGAGGAACCUGUACUGUAAUUGAUAAUCCACGAUAGAAUUUACUUAUACUUGUUUUCAUUUUGUAUACCUCCGUCAUCAGAGUAUCUUUUUAGAGGAUAAUAUUCUUAAUAUAACAAAUAUAAUAUGUCAGGUCAAGGUGCAAUUUAUGUAUAAGUAGAUAUGGGUUACAAUAAAGUUAUUUAUACGGAUUAUUAUUUUUAAUGAUAAUAUGAAGGAGGAUUUAAAAGUAAAAUUAUUUUAUUUAUUAAUUUGAUUUUAGCUCUAAAAUAUGCACACAUCGCCCGUCGCUCUUAUUUUAAAAUAAGAUAAGUCGUAACAUAGUAGGUGUACCGGAAGGUGUACCUAGU